AUUGAACGCUGGCGGUAUGCUUAACACAUGCAAGUCGAACGGGAGUAGGGGGCAACCCUUACUCUAGUGGCGGACGGGUGAGUAAUGCGUAGGAAUCUACCUUGAAGUGGGGGAUAACUCGGGGAAACUCGAGCUAAUACCGCAUAUGUUCUACGGAGCAAAGGGGGCGAAAGCUCUCGCUUUAAGAUGAGCCUACGUCGGAUUAGCUAGUUGGUGAGGUAAUGGCUCACCAAGCCGACGAUCGGUAGCUGGUCUGAGAGGAUGAUCAGCCAGACUGGAACUGAGACACGGUCCAGACUCCUACGGGAGGCAGCAGUGGGGAAUAUUGGACAAUGGGCGCAAGCCUGAUCCAGCCAUGCCGCGUGAGUGAUGAAGGCCCUAGGGUUGUAAAGCUCUUUUGUGCGGGAAGAUAAUGACGGUACCGCAAGAAUAAGCCCCGGCUAACUUCGUGCCAGCCGCCGCGGUAA
rnacentral:rRNA from 1 species